rnacentral:rRNA from 1 species
GGGGAAUUUUGGACAAUGGGGGAAACCCUGAUCCAGCCAUCCCGCGUGUGCGAUGAAGGCCUUCGGGUUGUAAAGCACUUUUGGCAGGGAAGAAAAGGUUCUGGCUAAUACCCGGAACUGCUGACGGUACCUGCAGAAUAAGCACCGGCUAACUACGUGCCAGCAGCCGCGGUAAUACGUAGGGUGCAAGCGUUAAUCGGAAUUACUGGGCGUAAAGCGUGCGCAGGCGGUUUGGCAAGAAGGAUGUGAAAUCCCAGGGCUUAACCUUGGAACUGCAUUCUUAACUGCCAGGCUAGAGUAUGUCAGAGGGGGGUAGAAUUCCGCGUGUAGCAGUGAAAUGCGUAGAGAUGCGGAGGAAUACCGAUGGCGAAGGCAGCCCCCUGGGAUAAUACUGACGCUCAUGCACGAAAGCGUGGGGAGCAAAC